rnacentral:lncRNA from 1 species
GGGGAGGCGCGCGCGGAGGGCGUUGCGCGUGGGGGGGGGGGGGGCGGUUUAACCCCCCCCUGCCCGGCGGCGGCGGCGGCGGCAUUUCUAUUCAGGCGGCGCUGAGGGAGCCCGGCGCGCCCGGUGCAUUGUGGGACUGGGCCGGGAGUCCCGUUCGCGGGAGGAGGCGGAGGGCGAGGAGGAGGAGAGCCGCUUGUAUAUCUUUUAUUUUUUUUUAUUGCAAGUGCUCAGUGCCUCACGCUGCUGCCUUCCAAUUAUGAGCUGAACUCAUUGCUCUUCCAAGACACGUCUGGGUAAC